GACGAACCGAGCGAACGUUGUUCGGAAUCACUGGGCUUAAAGGGCGCGUAGGCGGGCUGUCAAGUCUGGGGUGAAAUCCCACGGCUCAACCGUGGAACUGCCUUAGAUACUGACGGCCUCGAGGGAGAUAGGGGCGAGCGGAACUGUGAGUGGAGCGGUGAAAUGCGUUGAUAUUCACAGGAACUCCGGUGGCGAAGGCGGCUCGCUGGAUCUUUUCUGACGCUGAGGCGCGAAAGCUAGGGGAGCAAACGGGG
rnacentral:rRNA from 1 species